GACGAACGCUGGCGGCGUGCUUAACACAUGCAAGUCGAACGGUAAGGCCCUUCGGGGUACACGAGUGGCGAACGGGUGAGUAACACGUGGGUGAUCUGCCCUGCACUUCGGGAUAAGCCUGGGAAACUGGGUCUAAUACCGGAUAGGACUCCGGACUGCAUGGUCGGGGGUGGAAAGCUUUUGCGGUGUGGGAUGGGCCCGCGGCCUAUCAGCUUGUUGGUGGAGUGAUGGCCUACCAAGGCGACGACGGGUAGCCGGCCUGAGAGGGUGACCGGCCACACUGGGACUGAGAUACGGCCCAGACUCCUACGGGAGGCAGCAGUGGGGAAUAUUGCACAAUGGGCGCAAGCCUGAUGCAGCGACGCCGCGUGAGGGAUGACGGCCUUCGGGUUGUAAACCUCUUUCAGCAUCGACGAAGCGAAAGUGACGGUAGGUGCAGAAGAAGGACCGGCCAACUACGUGCCAGCCGCCGCGGUAA
rnacentral:rRNA from 1 species